rnacentral:rRNA from 1 species
CAGUAUGGGAGUGAGAAUGUUGGCAUGAGUAGCGAGAUGUGGGUGAGAAUCCCACAGGCCGUAAACCCAAGGUUUCCAGGGGAAGGUUCGUCCGCCCUGGGUUAGUCGGGACCUAAGCUGAGGCCGACAGGCGUAGGUGAUGGACAACAGGUUGAUAUUCCUGUACUACCGAUAACCGUUUGAGAGAAGGGAUGACACAGUAGGAUAAGCUAAGCAC